AUUGAACGCUGGCGGCAGGCUUAACACAUGCAAGUCGAGCGGUAGCACAGGGGAGCUUGCUUCCUGGGUGACGAGCGGCGGACGGGUGAGUAAUGUCUGGGAAACUGUCUGAUGGAGGGGGAUAACUACUGGAAACGGUAGCUAAUAUCGCAUAAAGUCGCAAGACCAAAGAGGGGGACAUUCGGGCCUCUUGCCAUCAGAUGUGACCAGAUGGGAUUAGCUAGUAGGUGGGGUAAUGGCUCACCUAGGCGACGAUCCCUAGCUGGUCUGAGAGGAUGACCAGCCACACUGGAACUGAGACACGGUCCAGACUCCUACGGGAGGCAGCAGUGGGGAAUAUUGGACAAUGGGCGCAAGCCUGAUGCAGCCAUGCCGCGUGUGUGAAGAAGGCCUUCGGGUUGUAAAGCACUUUCAGCGGGGAGGAAGGUGGUGAGCUUAAUACGUUCAUCAAUUGACGUUACUCGCAGAAGAAGCACCGGCUAACUCCGUG
rnacentral:rRNA from 1 species